rnacentral:rRNA from 1 species
AGAACGAACGCUGGCGGCAGGCUUAACACAUGCAAGUCGAGCGAGGACUUCGGUCCUAGCGGCGGACGGGUUAGUAACGCGUGGGAACGUGCCCCUUUCUUCGGAAUAGCCUCGGGAAACUGGGAGUAAUGCCGAAUACGCCGAGCCAUUGAGAGAUGGUUUGGGAAAGAUUUAUCGGAGAGGGAUCGGCCCGCGUUGGAUUAGGUAGUUGGUGGGGUAAUGGCCUACCAAGCCGACGAUCCAUAGCUGGUUUGAGAGGAUGAUCAGCAACACUGGGACUGAGACACGGCCCAGACUCCUACGGGAGGCAGCAGUGGGGAAUCUUGGACAAUGGGGGCAACCCUGAUCCAGCCAUGCCGCGUGAUCGAUGAAGGCCCUAGGGUUGUAAAGCUCUUUCACCCGUGAAGAUAAUGACGGUAGCGGGAGAAGAAGCCCCGGCUAACUCCGUGCCAGCAGCCGC